rnacentral:rRNA from 1 species
UCCGUAGGUGAACCUGCGGAAGGAUCAUUAACGAACUCUCGAAGGUCGCGGUCGCUGCUGGGCUUCUCAGAAGUCAUCGUGCACACGCGCUCUUUCCUCUCGUUCAACCAAUCUACCCCUAUCUGUGCACCCCUCGUAGGCUGAGAUCUCUCGGCUUAUGUUCUUUCCACAAAGCAUCCUUAAUAUAUCAGUGAAUGGCAGCCGUUCGAGCCUCGUCUCGACGUAGCAAAUAAUACACAACUUUCAACAACGGAUCUCUUGGCUCUCGCAUCGAUGAAGAACGCAGCGAAAUGCGAUAAGUAAUGUGAAUUGCAGAAUUCAGUGAAUCAUCGAAUCUUUGAACGCACCUUGCGCCUCUUGGUACUCCGAGAGGCAUGCCUGUUUGAGUGUCAUUGAACCCUCAACCCGAGCGGCUUUUCGAGCUUGAUCGGAGUUUUGGAGCUUGCGGCGUGCGGGAAGGCUCUCUCGAGUCUUCCGCUCCUCGCGGAAUACAUCAGCAGAUGCCCACUUGCGGUCCAGCCUUUGGCGUGAUAACUGUCUACGCCCCUGGCUGGGGUCGCGUUUCCCUGGCUCCGCUUCGAACGGUCCUCGUUCUCGCGAGGAUGAAUUGACAAAUUUGACCUCAAAUCAGG